CAAUCAAAUGCACUAUCUGCAAAAAUGAAUCUGUAUAUUCUCCAGAAAUUUUAUACUCAUUUCAAAAUUAUGCUUCCAAAAGACCAAUAUGAUGUUUUUCAUUUAUAUACAAAGCCCAAUUAUGCUACAUCUGAUACAAGUAGCAAGAUCAUAGCCUCCAUUGAAAUGUUAAGGAACAAAGACCAGGGUAAUGGUCAAUAACAAUAAUUUAUUUGGAAAGAUGUAAACAUAAG
rnacentral:misc_RNA from 1 species